rnacentral:misc_RNA from 1 species
GAUGAAGAAUGUAGCAAAAUGCGAUAAGUAAUGUGAAUUGCAGAAUUCAGUGAAUCAUCGAAUCUUUGAACGCACAUUGCGCCCGCCAGUAUUCUGGCGGGCAUGCCUGUUCGAGCGUCAUUUCAACCCUCAAGCCCUCGGGUUUGGUGUUGGGGAUCGGCGAGCCUUUCUGGCAAGCCGGCCCCGAAAUCUAGUGGCGGUCUCGCUGCAGCCUCCAUUGCGUAGUAGUAAAACCCUCGCAACUGGAACGCGGCGCGGCCAAGCCGUUAAACCCCCAACUUCUGAAUGUUGACCUCGGAUCAGGUAGGAAUACCCGCUGAACUUAAGCAUAUCAAUAAGCGGAGGA